rnacentral:rRNA from 1 species
AGCAGCCGCGGUAAUUCCAGCUCCAAUAGCGUAUAUUAAAGUUGUUGCAGUUAAAAAGCUCGUAGUUGAAUUUCGGGGUUAGUAGGUUGGUCAUGCCUCUGGUAUGUACUGGUCUCACUGAUUCCUCCUUCCUGAUGAACCUUAAUGCCAUUAAUUUGGUGUUUUGGGGAAUUUGGACUGUUACUUUGAAAAAAUUUAGAGUGUUUAAAGCAGGCUCACGCUUGAAUACAUUAGCAUGGAAUAAUGAAAUAGGACGUUUGAUUCUAUUUUGUUGGUUUCUAGGAUCGACGUAAUGAUUAAUAGGGAUAGUUGGGGGCAUUAGUAUUCAAUUGUCAGAGGUGAAAUUCUUGGAUUUAUUGAAGACUAACUACUGCGAAAGCAUUUGCCAAGGAUGUUUUCAUUAAUCAAGAACGAAAGUUAGGGGAUCGAAGACGAUCAGAUACCGUCGUAGUCUUAACCAUAAACUAUGCCGACUAGGGAUCGGAUGAUGUUAAUUUUUUAAUGACUCAUUCGGCGCCUU